AGUACCUCCAAGCCCGUUAGCUAACUAUUGUGGGUCAGAUGUCACGACAGAGCUCAGAAACUUACGGCUUCACAUCCAUUGAGGUUGGCCACCUGGCACGACACAUGACCAACACCGUAGAAGCCCCUGGAGGUAACUGUGCCUUUCUCUCAUCCUCUGGGCUCCUGUUGGUGUUGACAGAUGUGAAGACCUAGCCUACCCAGAUAGCUUCUGGUUGGAGAUGGAAGGAACCUAAGCCUUUGAAUUACUGUAUGGAGGAGAGUAGCUGAUCCUUCAGGAAAUACUGAACUAGGAAGACAUGACUACUUUAUUUGAGCCACUAUCAACUCUUUGGUCUCA